UACACACCGCCCGUCACAUCACGAAAGUGGACUGCACUAGAAGCCGGUACACUAACCCGCAAGGGGGGUAGCCGUCCAAGGUAUGGUUCAUGAUUGGGGUG
rnacentral:rRNA from 1 species